UACGAAGGGUGCAAACGUUGCUCGGAAUUAUUGGGCGUAAAGAGCUUGUAGGCGGUUUGUCGCGUCUGCCGUGAAAAUCCGGGGCUCAACCCCGGACUUGCGGUGGGUACGGGCAGACUAGAGUGUGGUAGGGGAGACUGGAAUUCCUGGUGUAGCGGUGAAAUGCGCAGAUAUCAGGAGGAACACCGAUGGCGAAGGCAGGUCUCUGGGCCACUACUGACGCUGAGAAGCGAAAGCGUGGGGAGCGAACAGG
rnacentral:rRNA from 1 species